UUGUUGCACCAGAAGUAGCUAGCCUAACUGCAAAGAGGGCGGUUACCACGGUGUGGCCGAUGACUGGGGUGAAGUCGUAACAAGGUAGCCGUAGGGGAACCUGCGGCUGGAUCACCUCCUUAACGAA
rnacentral:rRNA from 1 species